rnacentral:rRNA from 1 species
UACGGGGGGGGCAAGCGUUGUUCGGAAUUACUGGGCGUAAAGGGCUCGUAGGUGGCCAACUAAGUCAGACGUGAAAUCCCUCGGCUUAACCGGGGAACUGCGUCUGAUACUGGAUGGCUAGAGUUUGGGAGAGGGAUGCGGAAUUCCAGGUGUAGCGGUGAAAUGCGUAGAUAUCUGGAGGAACACCGGUGGCGAAGGCGGCAUCCUGGACCGGCAUUGACGCUGAGGAGCGAAAGCUAGGGGAGCAAACGGG